GUGCUCGCUUCAGCAGCACAUAUACUAAAAUUGGAAUGAUACAGACAAGAUUAGCAUGGUCCCUGCUCAAGGAUAACACACAAAUUGUGAAGCAUUCCAUAUUUUU